rnacentral:rRNA from 1 species
GAUGAACGCUAGCUACAGGCUUAACACAUGCAAGUCGAGGGGUAACGAGAGGAAGGCUUGCUUACCUUGUCGACGACCGGCGCACGGGUGAGUAACGCGUAUCCAACCUGCCCCCAACUAGGGAAUAACCUUGCGAAAGUAAGACUAAUACCCUAUAAUUUCCUCAGAUGUCAUCUGACGAGGAAUAAAGAUUUAUCGGUUGUGGAUGGGGAUGCGUCUGAUUAGCUUGUUGGCGGGGUAACGGCCCACCAAGGCAACGAUCAGUAGGGGUUCUGAGAGGAAGGUCCCCAACAUUGGAACUGAGACACGGUCCAAACUCCUACGGGAGGCAGCAGUGAGGAAUAUUGGUCAAUGGGCGGAAGCCUGAACCAGCCAAGUAGCGUGCAGGAUGACGGCCCUAUGGGUUGUAAACUGCUUUUAUACAGGAAUAAAGUUAGCCACGUGUGGUUAUUUGUAGGUACUGUAUGAAUAAGGACCGGCUAAUCCCGUGCCAGCAGCAGCCGCCG